rnacentral:lncRNA from 1 species
CAGAUAAGACAACCUUAUCUUCAAACAUUUCAAGUGGCAACUGGUCUGGUACAGAUACCAAUGAACAAGAGAUACAGUACAAAGGUUCUGACGUCGGUGCCAUCAUUGGUGCCUCUGUUGCAUCUGUCCUGGUAGUAAUUGCUGCUGUUGCUGUCAUUGUAAUUAUUUUGAAAAGACGACAAAGUGAACAUCAAACAAAAAUGGGUAACUUAUCAGAACAAACCAAUUAUAUUACACCCAUUUCGACUGAAGCAGACGAUAGAAUCUAUAUAAAUGUGAGAGAAAACGAUACAGGAGAAACAAACGACGGCUACGAAAUACCAAAUCCACAACGAAAUGUAUAUGAGUCUUUACAAGGCAGAGGUAAUGAAGAUCAUUUCUACGAAACGACAAAUUCCAGUCUUAAAUAAUAGAGUGACGCAUCUAGCUGCGAUAUACUGAACAAACCAUAAAAGAAGCGUAUGAGAAACUGUCAGAUAGAAACGGAUAUACGUAUCUCCAAACCAAAACAUAUUCCUGCAACUAUGAACUAUAUUGAAAGGUGUACUCAGUUAUAAUUACUUAGCUUAUUUGGGUUUAAGCCGUUGUUCAACACUUUUUCAAUUAUGUAACGGCGGCAGUUAACCUAACCAAAUUGCCUAAAUUAUGCACCAGUACAAAUCUGUUCUCCACAAGUAUUUGCCAACUCCCCCACAUGAGUCAGAGGAUACGCCUCCACAAGAAAGAGUUUCUUUUCGUCGAUGAUGUUUCGAUUGGUUUUCUUGGGGCGAAUGUGCAUUCAAAACACUUUUAAAGAAAAGACGUCGAAACUAUCGACGAAAAGAAACGCUUUCUUGUAGAUGAAUAUCAAAAUAUCAUGUCUUCCUGUUUUCCAAUACGAAGAAUGCAGUUUGCAUAUAUCAAAUCCAGAAAACAGCACGAGAAUGCAUGAAAGAAGCGAACGUAAAAUGCAUAGACGAAAGUAAAACCUAUAAGCAUUGUAUACUUAACAAAGAUAUAAAGGAACAGAGUGGGAACCGCCGUGCAACGGUCAUUCGAAAACAGUUUCUAUAAAAUAUAAUAGCUGUUAUUAUACGGUAUAUAGGAGUCAGUUUUGUCGCGUCGC